UUUAAUCAUACAGAUCCCCUGCAGAGCGGGGGGUUAUUGAUGCCUCUCACAACGUAUAGCUUUGACCAAUUUGAACGCAAUUAAGCAGUGGGGAGGACUUCCCUGCGCAUUUUACGUCCAUUAACAGCGCACUUCCAACUGUACGGAGUUAGUUUUUUACUGUAAAUAUGAUCAGAAAAACUGAUAACGGAGUAAGAUGAGGCGAAAGAAAAGAAACGAAGGUCUAAAAUUGAAUCCAUAAAACAUGAAAUGAAUUAAAGCGCGGAGAGAAUUUAAUUGUCUAAAAGAAGAAGAAGGAGAAGAAAAAGAAACAACAACAUCCGUCCACACUUCGAAUAGAAAUUGAUUAGGUAUGACUGUUGGUCACACAGCAUUACAGCAAUUUAAGGCCUGUCAGCAGCUCCUCUCCCUCACAAUGGCCUCGGCUGAGAAGCAACAGGCGUUUUCUUUCUCCAGGUCAUACUAUUUAAUAAGCCAGACAAAGUUGCGUUUUGCGAGGCGCCAGGCUCUGCGGGAUCAAAAAAAAAAAAAAAAAAACGGAAGAUACCUCGGGCAGACAAGAAAGAAAGAAAGAAAGAAAAAGGCAACUAGGUAACUCCACUUAACCAAUUGUCCUCAAAAUAUUUCAUAGUCCACCGCGUGGAGCAGGGAGGAGGAAGAAGAAGAAGGCAAGGCUGCUGCGGUUCAUGUUGGAGCGCUUCAUGAGUUUUUUUUUUUUUUUUUUUUUACUAAAGCAGGAGAUGAAACGGCAGGAAGGUGUUUUCACAUCCAAACUGACGUCUCAUUAAGCGUGUCAGCAGCAGCGCACUGCGGCCACCAAACCAACACGAGAUUCCACGGAGCAUUAGCAGCCGUCAACACCACCAAUCACACUUCCCGAGCGAACCGGCRUGCAAAGGGAAAACAUCGGCCCUAUUAAUGUCUCCAUGCUCCCUCGCCACUUUAAUAGCUUCAUUUGUCCGCUUUAUGGUCGCGCUUYCCGAAUUGAAGAAACGUUGAACGGACAACGUCUGACUCACGACGUGAGACGGCCAUUCCCCCCCCCACAACCAGACAAAGAACAAGCGAUCCUUUGACUGACAGGAUUUAUGCUCAGGGGUCACGGAUGGCCGACCUCUCGAAAGCCCUCAGGUGCAGAAAACAGUUUAGCCUUCGUCAGGUGAAACCAGCCCUCUGUCUCCCCGCUGCUUCUCUUCGCCCAGCUGGUUUGUGUUUAAAUGCCAAGCAAGUGCGUCCCGACACGCAACGAGACCGUGGGAUGGGAGUCCGUGGAGAUCCAUCUGAUACAGGGUGACGCUGCGAGACGUUAUGGGAGACGACAAAGGCUUCAAAAGUCGAAUGCCUCAAGAAUAGCGGGGAGAAGGAGCUCCAUCAUCUGAGACAUGCUGCUGGAUGUUCCAGUCUGACCACUAAGUGUAACUACUGAAGCUCCUUUGUCUUGUUUUUCUCCUGUUUGUCCACCUGUUGCACUCCUGAAAUCCCCCCAAAAAAUUCAGAAGUGUAACAGGUGUUCAGAGAUAGUCUUUAGGUUAGCAUAUUACUUUUAAUAUCUGGUUUAAUGAUACAUUUCUCAAACAUUGUCUUAUGCUUGAUUCUCAUCUCCCUUCAGUGAUCUGUGUUGACUUUUUCCCAUUGAGCUUGAUUUCCCAGGAUUUGACAUAGAUUUUCUGUGCUGUUCUUGAGUUAUGGUCUUGUAUUUAAGCAAUGAUGGAAAUAAAUGAAGUGAUUCAA